CUGUGGUCUAAUUGCUGGACAAAGGACCAAGGGCAGCUGAAUUCUUAAGGCAUUACCAUGGGAAUUUUCCCUUUCUGGGGAUUGUAACAGAGCUCUAGGACUAGUUGUUUUUGUGAUGUGCUUCUUGACUGGCUGGAGCGGCCCUUAUUCAGGAACUCCAUCCAAGCAUCUCCUGCAGAGAAUGAAACCAUCAGCUGUCCUCGAAGCGGUGCUCCAUACUGCGGUGACACACAACGGUGAGUCUUGCGGCGGUGGGCUCUUGGGUUUCAACACGCUCAAAGCAGAGCCAGCAGCGUACAUCUCAGCGUACCGCUGUAUGAAGUGGGAUACAUCAAACGCGUCCUUCGGAGAGAUAUCAUCAUGAUGUCAUUUGCCUGUGGAUGGAUGUCUCAUCUAUCUCACUUCUCUUUCCUGCUGACUUGCUCUAUCCUGACCUGUUCUGACAGCUGUUGCUUACCAUUCAACUCUCCAACCAUUGCCAGUGUGGAACUACAGAGGAGUACUCAAAGGAAGAGGCAAAUCCAGAGUACUCUUUACUGUAAACAUGCUUAUCUUGUCUCUGAGGGCCCUGCUUGCUGACUCUCCCAAUGACUUUGCUGAGGUUUCCAUGCCCAACUCUUGUGAGGUACUAAUACAUCAAAAAUCUAUCUUUGGAAGCAUGCUCCCCUGCUCAAACAUUUAAAACACCAGGAUUUCAUCACGGGGCAGACUAAGUGCAAGAAUUCUUCCCGGGUGUUGAAGUUCUGCAACCACCACCAAGCUCCUACUUUUAAGAAGUGCAAGUGAAUCUUCAGCUAUUUUGCUUACAGAGUACUUAUGGGAAAGAGGAAUGUGUAUGUUCGCAGCUAAACUUUUGUCCAUCAUAGUUUCACAGUGAUAACCUGAAGCCCAUUUGGACACAGAUCAGGACUUUGGUUGGGUAUUACUGUCCACUGCAUAGGUGAGCUAACACAAACUACUCCAACUAUAUAUUUAGAUUGAUUUUCUUUUGGUUAUCCUGCAACAGUUUAGUUUUGCUCUAGGCUUAGGUGAUAAAUAUAACGUGGAUUAAAGCCAUUGCUCCUCAGACUGGCCCUGGGUUUGUUUGUUGCAGGACAUAAUACAUCUGUGCUUAACAAUCUCACUCCUUUCAGUUAACCCAUCCAUGGCCCCAGAGAUUUUCCUCUUGAAGCCAAUCCAACAUGGUAAGGAAGAGACCCUACACCGUGAGGAAUCAGGGCAGUCUGGCUUUGGAGUUCAGAACCAGAUGGCUGGAAGCUUCAUUGCUAUUUAACAAAGACUUUUGGUACUAAGACAAAUGCCAAGAUCUGCAGGCAGCCCAACUUUCAGUAACUUCCUCGAUACUUUUGAGUCAUCAUUAAUACCAUCCCACUCAAGAGAUAUUCCUAGGUGUACCCCUCUUCCCAGCACUUUUUUUAAUCAUAUACUUUUAAUUUGCUUUAACCCUGCUGGCAAUUAACCUUUCACCCUGUAAUGUGAUGGAAAGUACAGCAACAAUAGCAGAGUAGCACAAUCCUUGGCUAUAGCAAAUGAGAACAACCCCAAAUGCAGCAACUGUGGUUGCAGAAAUGAAAGAAAAAAAACUGCUUACCUUUGUAAGGCCUCCAGUAGAAAGAAAUCUACAACAAGAUACCCUUCCCUCCACUGCCAACCCUUAAAUGAGGUCUGGGAAGGGUGGAUCCUGGCUCUACCUCUUCUGGUCACUCACGUUCAUUGCAUGCACCUGAGCUCCCCUGGGUUGGCCCUGCCUUCCCACCAGGUGCUCAAUCACUUUUUCAGGCUGUGACUUAGCAUUUCCGCUAUACCCCUGGAACUCUUUUCUCGUAAUUCCUGGCAAGCUCCAUUCAGUGCUGUAAUCUAUGUGAGCUGUUUAAACCCUUCUGCUUUUCCAUGGCAGUUUUCAAAGACUGGAGAUCUUUGAGCAGUCUCCUGUGAAGUUUUAGCAGCCUCUUCCCGCUCCCUAUUGCUGUGUUGGGCAAGGGGCGGCAGUCUGCUUUCUUCUUUCAUGCCAUUUCUGAGCAAUUCUUCAGUGUUGUGCUUCUCCCUGACUGAUCAAAGCCUUUCCCACUGUGACCUUUGAUCAAGCAGUAAAAGAUUUCUAGCAGAGCAUCAGCCCCUUCUGAUUGCUGUAUGAGGUGGGUCAGCCAGUACCCAGGGCAGCGUGGGGGUAGUGGAAGUGCUUGCUUGAGCAAGGCUGGCAGGGGUUGCCCGUUUGUCUCCUAAGUAUUUUCCAGUUUACUGCAUGGCAAGGUUAAUUGCUGCUGUGUGCUCUGACUCUGUUUUUCACCACGUCGAAUUCCCUGUGUUGCUGGUGUCAACACCAUUCUCACCUGUUCAGGUUGCCCAGAAGCACUCAUAAGACAAACAUGAGCUGAGAGAUACAUGCUAUCUAUCUGUAUGCUAUGUAUAUGCAUGUAAAUAUAUGUAUACUUAUGAAUCUUUCAUACAUGUUUAUGUGUGUAUGUAUAUAUGUUAAUCUAUAUCUCAGCAUGCUUGUGUGAAGACAUUUUCCUCACUGGCAGAAUUUGAACUCCAAGUGGACUGUUGUCUGUCUGACAUAGGGCAUGAUGGAAGAAUACUUCUUUUGCCUCUGUUGAAAAUGAUUGACCAUUGGUUCAGUCAAAUGCUACAGAGCAUUAAUGAGAUGUUGGCUUUGUAUGCCAGCCAAGAUAUUAUGGACGUGCCAUGUAAGAUGGACACACGCUUGGGCUCCACAUGGUUCGCUGAAGGCAGCUGCUCUUGGCAGGUGGGGCAAGGCAGGAACACUUAAUCUUUCAUUGAAUGCUGAUUAAAUUUGCAGAACGGGGUACAACUGGAAAAAAUAUGAGUGACCAAAGAGGUGAAACUGAUGCUGUGUUCACAGGUAGAGCCUUAGGAAUUAUCUGAACAGAAAAGGACGCUAGCUGGUAAGAGUUAGCAGCACCCAAACUCCUCCCUGGUUUAUGAUUUCCUUUGGUUUCUCUUUGUUUUGCUCAAUCUGCAAUCAUUACAUGAGCAUAAUAUCUGCUGACGGAAAUUCCCUAGAAAACCUCAUUAUUUAAUGCAAAAUAAUAUCUUCAUCAACAGCUCUGAAGCAGGUGGUUUCUCACAUGUUGCCACUAUUUCCAAAGUCAUCAUUGUUGUUUUUUUUUUUCCUUAAUGAAGAAAGUUAAAAAAAAGCCCACUAAACAACAAUAAGAAGUUCUGCUUUUGAUUAACAAGGAAAAAAAAAGUUUAAUUUCUAAAGAUGUCUCUAUAUUAUUAACUCAAUUAUCAGAAGGGAUGGUUGAAUGAGCAGACAAUUAAAAGAAGGAGAAGCUCAGAAGGAAAAGUUCAUCAGUGUAUUAGGCAGACAAUGGGGGAAAGUAAAACUAUUUCAAGUGCUAUUUGAAGGAAGCCAUUUGGGAAAGAAAUAGGAUUAAUUAAGUUUUGAACCGGUUAAUUUUGUUAUCUAAAAAUAUUUCACAGAUUAACCACUAUAACGUACUUAUGCAUGAGGUAAUGUCUGAGCUCCUUCAGCAGUGCUGCUCUCGAUAAAGGUACUUUAAAUCAACAUGGCACUCCAGACUUUCCAGAGCCCAUGGUGUACUCUGCAGCUGAGAUUAACAUGGGGCUUUGAGACAUCCACAACAGAGAGGUCUGAACUGUGCAGCAGUAUUCUGCUGUCUGUCACAGUGUCAGCUGAAUCCCGCUAAACUCAAUGAGAGGCAAUGGCUUUGUUGCCUCUCACGGGGAGUGAUCUUUAGGCUUUAUCACCUCCUCCGUCUCCCUGUAUAGACCCUGUCUGUUUUCAUUGUAAGCAUCAGUCUAAAAUAUCUUUGUAGAGCUAGAGCAGUGACUUGGAGGAUCUGCUGUCACCACAACUACCCCAAAGAGGAAUCUCUUUCCUUUUGCAAUUUAUUCCCAUUGCCCCUUCCUUGGAGCUUGUGUACAUGUAGCUACAGGGAUGCUCCAAGUGCUCCUUCAUCUACAUAAUUCAGGUAAACUCUUCCCUUCCCAUUCUUUUUCCUGUUCUCCUUGAGAAAAUGUCUGUAACCUUUUCCUUCCAUGGAUUUUUGUCCCUUACAUUUUUGUUUUUUGGGCUGAUCCUGAGCUGACAGUGGGAAGACAGUUUUCCCUGACUUUGGCUCAGACCUCCAAGACAGCCCUGUAUUCCAGCUCUCAGUAUGGUUUCCACCAAAAUAUAUGUAGUAAUAAUUGUCUGUACAAAAUUUCCUUGCUGCAAAGCUUUGGACAAUGGGGUCUGUGCCCUCACUCCGCAUGCAUAGCCCUGCUUUGUGAAAACGGGUCCCAUAAUUGGAUUAAAUCAAUAUGCAAAGGGCAAAAAUAAAUAAAUAAAUCUGUUUACCCUGUCUGCACAGGGCUUUUGUUUGUGCCUUAGUUUUCUUCAAGGCGUGGGUAGUGAAUCAUGACAAAUUACUUUCUCAAGCUUUGCCGUCUAUUUCUUAAUGAAUUAAUUUUAACAGGCACCAGCCACGGUCCUCCCCAUGCUGCUGCUGCCAUGAUGGUCCCUGGGUGGGGUGGACCAGUGACUCUGUUCUCAGCAAGGGGACAAGCUUGGAAAAAGUGUGACAAACUAUAUACAAUGUUGAGUGGCCCAGGCAAGACAAAGGCAUUCACCCUGCCCCUCCAGUUGUUGAAUUUAGGUGAGAAAUGCCAAAUACAUGACUUGAGGAAAAAAUAUGACCUGUGGGUGCUUGAAAGUAAUUUUCCAUAGGUGGUAUUUGAGAAUCUUAUCUUCCAUCUCGUUAAUAAUGAUCUUUGAAGGGAACCCUAUAAACUGUCUUCCAUUUCUGAUGAGAUGGAAUAAUUUAUUACUUCAAUUUCCCUGAUUAAUGUAAAAUGUGUUUCAAAUUUAGGUUUUGCUUUAAUAUUUAAGCUUCCCCAUGAGAGGAGCUGCAGUAGGGCAGGGUGACUGUGUCAUCCCCUGUAUCCACCCUCCCUGUGCCAUGGCAUGUUCCCAAAUCAGGGUGAGCUCUGCUAGCAGAGCAGACCUGCAAUAAAAUUAAGCAGCAAACAUAGCUUGUUUCAAGACCCUGCUCUCUUAAAAGGCAGGAACAUUGGUGCCUACCUGCCUGGAAGGGUCAGAUCCCACAGCUCUGCUCAUUCAUGCCAGUGAUAUUUUUUCUAAAUUUUAAGCAAUGAUCUGAGUUUGGACAUUCUUAAGAAUGUCUUCUCACAAAAGAACUGGAAAAAAGCCCAAAGUUUGUGCUCUUUAGAAUAAAUCACAUUGCAGGGCUUUUUCCUAGGAAACAAACCUAUUCGCAGUAGGCUUUUUUGCUACUCUUUUACAUCACUGCCUUUUUGAGUGCCAAAGUUGGACAAAACCAUGGUGCUUUGUCUUGUCCUUACACCAUGCAGGAAGCUGAACUCCAGGGUUCACCAAAAACAUUCCAUGAGCUGCUAAAACUUCUCACAUGUUCUGUGUCUUCCAUGGCCUAUGUCUAUGCUACAGCAACUGGAGGGCCCAUUUGUGUGCCUUGACCACUCAGGUUGCCUCACUCUAGUUCAAAAGGACAUAAAAGACAAUUUUAUUACAGUAGGGUCUUUAUCUCAGUGAAAGCAAUAGUGUAAUGCAGCAGUACUGGGAUGGAAAGCCCUUAAAUACCUGCAGUGAUAAAAAUCAGAGCCCAGACAGAGAAGUAUCUGUUUUAGAGAGACUUAUUUAUUAGAAGAUAGGAGGUUGUUACAUACAGAUUCUGUCCUGCAAAAGUGUCCUGGUUAAGGAUAUGUCAGGGAGACGUUUAAACCCAUUAGAGCUGGCUCUGGUCUCCAUGCAGAGAUACUCAAGACACAGCAGAGCUCUGCCAGACCUGGCUCUCGCACUUGUGCUCAGCUGCUGAGAGGCCUGACAUACCACAGCAUCCCUGAGCUCGUUACACCACCUUUAUCCCACUGGAAACCCUGGCCUGUGGGCUGGAAACCAGCGGUGGGGACACCAGACAGUGCUGCAGAAGGGGCACCGUUCUUCCUGGGGGGAACCUGGAGGUGUUUUCCCCAAGUAGGGAAUUGUCUUCCAUCGUGCCAGCGAUGAACAUGUCUGAGCAAG
ensembl:lncRNA